rnacentral:rRNA from 1 species
GAUGAACGCUGGCGGCGUGCCUAAUACAUGCAAGUCGAGCGAACGGACGAGAAGCUUGCUUUUCUGAUGUUAGCGGCGGACGGGUGAGUAACACGUGGAUAACCUACCUAUAAGACUGGGAUAACUUCGGGAAACCGGAGCUAAUACCGGAUAAUAUUUUGAACCGCAUGGUUCAAAAGUGAAAGACGGUCUUGCUGUCACUUAUAGAUGGAUCCGCGCUGCAUUAGCUAGUUGGUAAGGUAACGGCUUACCAAGGCAACGAUGCAUAGCCGACCUGAGAGGGUGAUCGGCCACACUGGAACUGAGACACGGUCCAGACUCCUACGGGAGGCAGCAGUAGGGAAUCUUCCGCAAUGGGCGAAAGCCUGACGGAGCAACGCCGCGUGAGUGAUGAAGGUCUUCGGAUCGUAAAACUCUGUUAUUAGGGAAGAACAUAUGUGUAAGUAACUGUGCACAUCUUGACGGUACCUAAUCAGAAAGCCACGGCUAACUACGUGCCAGCAGCCGCGGUAAUACGUAGGUGGCAAGCGUUAUCCGGAAUUAUUGGGCGUAAAGCGCGCGUAGGCGGUUUUUUAAGUCUGAUGUGAAAGCCCACGGCUCAACCGUGGAGGGUCAUUGGAAACUGGAAAACUUGAGUGCAGAAGAGGAAAGUGGAAUUCCAUGUGUAGCGGUGAAAUGCGCAGAGAUGUGGAGGAACACCAGUGGCGAAGGCGACUUUCUGGUCUGUAACUGACGCUGAUGUGCGAAAGCGUGGGGAUCAAACAGGAUUAGAUACCCUGGUAGUCCACGCCGUAAACGAUGAGUGCUAAGUGUUAGGGGGUUUCCGCCCCUUAGUGCUGCAGCUAACGCAUUAAGCACUCCGCCUGGGGAGUACGACCGCAAGGUUGAAACUCAAAGGAAUUGACGGGGGCCCGCACAAGCGGUGGAGCAUGUGGUUUAAUUCGAAGCAACGCGAAGAACCUUACCAAAUCUUGACAUCCUUUGACAACUCUAGAGAUAGAGCCUUCCCCUUCGGGGGACAAAGUGACAGGUGGUGCAUGGUCGUCGUCAGCUCGUGUCGUGAGAUGUUGGGUUAAGUCCCGCAACGAGCGCAACCCUUAAGCUUAGUUGCCAUCAUUAAGUUGGGCACUCUAAGUUGACUGCCGGUGACAAACCGGAGGAAGGUGGGGAUGACGUCAAAUCAUCAUGCCCCUUAUGAUUUGGGCUACACACGUGCUACAAUGGACAAUACAAAGGGCAGCGAAACCGCGAGGUCAAGCAAAUCCCAUAAAGUUGUUCUCAGUUCGGAUUGUAGUCUGCAACUCGACUACAUGAAGCUGGAAUCGCUAGUAAUCGUAGAUCAGCAUGCUACGGUGAAUACGUUCCCGGGUCU